rnacentral:ncRNA from 1 species
CGAUCGUCUGAUCGGCCCGACCCCGGUACCUGAUACGGCCGGGGCGG